rnacentral:rRNA from 1 species
UACGGGGGGGGCAAGCGUUGUUCGGAAUUACUGGGCGUAAAGGGCUCGUAGGCGGCCAACUAAGUCGGAUGUGAAAUCCCCAGGCUUAACCUGGGAACUGCAUCCGAUACUGGAUGGCUUGAAUCCGGGAGAGGGAUGCAGAAUUCCAGGUGUAGCGGUGAAAUUCGUAGAUAUUAGGAAGAACACCGGUGGCGAAGGCGGCCCACUGGCUCGAUACUGACGCUGAGGUGCGAAAGCGUGGGGAGCAAACAGG